rnacentral:rRNA from 1 species
AACAGGGAUUGCCCUAGUAACGGCGAGUGAAGCGGCAACAGCUCAAAUUUGAAAUCUGGCCUCGGCCCGAGUUGUAAUUUGCAGAGGAUGCUUCUGGCGCGGUGCCUUCCGAGUUCCCUGGAACGGGACGCCACAGAGGGUGAGAGCCCCGUAUGGUCGGACACCAAGCCUGUGUGAAGCUCCUUCGACGAGUCGAGUAGUUUGGGAAUGCUGCUCUAAAUGGGAGGUAAAUCUCUUCUAAAGCUAAAUACCGGCCAGAGACCGAUAGCGCACAAGUAGAGUGAUCGAAAGAUGAAAAGCACCUUGAAAAGGGGGUUAAAUAGUACGUGAAAUUGUUGAAAGGGAAGCACUUAUGACCAGACUUGGGCCGGGCGGCUCAUCAGGGGUUCUCCCCUGUGCACUCCGCCCGGCACAGGCCAGCAUCGGUUUUCGCGGGGGGAUAAGACCGACGGGAACGUAGCACCCUCCGGGGUGUGUUAUAGCCCGGCGGACGAUACCCUCGCGGGGACCGAGGACCGCGCUUCGGCAAGGAUGCUG